CGGAAGGGGCGCGCCUUCCCGAAAUGGGCGGGGCCAGCCGGCGCCCGGAGGCGGGGCCUGAGCGCGGGGCCCACAGGCCUCCCGGACCCGGCGUGGGCCUGCGGGGUCCGCGCCGCCGGCUCGCACAGCGGCUCGCUCCCCUCCCGCGGGCGCCGGGCGGCCCUGCGACGAUCCGUGUGCACGCCGACCCGAGGGCCCCGGGGCUUGCGGCGCUCGGCCGCCUCGCCGCCCGGACUCCGGAAGGGUGGGAAGGAAAGCAGAGCUGGCGGCGGCGUCUUUGUCCCUUUUCCGGAACGGAGCGCCGCACUGCGCGGAAAGCGCCGCGACCUGAACCUAGAAACCCACGGCCCAGGCCGCGGUCGUCGUGGGGCCGCCCCCCUGGCGGCUCCAGUGUGGCGUGGGGCGCUCCGCACCGCCCGGACUCCCUGGGCCCUUGUUUCCAGAGUUGGCCUUAGUCGGGCAUAUUGAGGGACAAUACUUGCGAUUUCCGUGGCUCAGCAUCUGCGCUUGGAUCCUCUCGGGGCCUAGAUUUCAGAAUCUCAAAGGUUUGGCCACUGCACUCCCACCCCCUCCAGUAAAGCAAGGUGGAUGCAUUAUUUAACAACACCGAGCCAUUAGCAUUUGGGGCCUCACCUCUCUGAGUUGGCCCUUGAGCAACUAAAUGCUCUAUUGAGGAGGCAAAAAACAAGCAUGAAAAAGGACGGCCCCAUCCGCGUCAGCACUGCGCCCGCUCUAGACGCCCCGGAACCUUCAGCUGCUGCUGCAGGGCGGCUGGAAUCAGACUCGCCACCUGCACGGCCGAGGGCAGGACCCCCAGGAGCGCCACUGGACCCAUCUCUUACACAGGCUGACCGAUUUCUCCUGGUGUUCAGAGUCUGUUUUUGUCUAGCACCAUUUGAAAUCGGUUAUGAUGUAGGGGGACAAGCAGCAGCCUCGAAGCCUCGUGCCAACCGUGGUGAGCAAGCGCCCGUGGUCUCCCGGAGGACGGACGGGCAGAGUGGGGAAGGACGAUCUCGCGCUUUUUUCACUAACUUCUUUAACUGCAUUUAUGAUGCCUUAUUGCAGAGGUAAGAGAGCACUGAAUGUCUUUUCAAAGACAAAUGGCCAUAAUGCAUCUGAGGUCCCGGGUUGCAUGUUGCUGAAAUGCGGCAGCUGCUGUCAGCGGUUGCUGUUGAAUCAUCUUUCCGUGAAGAGUCUGUUCGUGCUCCUGACCUGAAUAAAUACUUCACUCUACUCAA